GGAAAAAAAAAUCGCCCACCGCCACCUCGGUAAAGACGAAAGAACAUUAGCCCAGAACUGAAUGCAAGUCACCAUGGCAGCAGCAAGUGUUGUGAUUGAUGGCGCUCUUAUGGAAGGUGGAGGACAAAUUUUGAGAAUGUCAACUGCUUUCAGUUGCUUAACCAAACAACCAAUCGUAAUAAACAACAUCAGAGCCAAUAGGAGUAAACCAGGUCUACG